UCUGGCAAUUAUGGCGAGAAGGUCACACCCGUUCCCAUACCGAACACGGAAGUUAAGCUUCUCAGCGCCGAUGGUAGUUGGGACAUGCGUCCCUGUGAGAGUAGGACGUUGCCAGGC
rnacentral:rRNA from 1 species